UCAUGGCUCAGGACGAACGCUGGCGGCGUGCUAAUACAUGCAAGUCGAGCGGACAGAAGGGAGCUUGCUCCCGGAUGUUAGCGGCGGACGGGUGAGUAACACGUGGGUAACCUGCCUGUAAGACUGGGAUAACUCCGGGAAACCGGAGCUAAUACCGGAUAGUUCCUUGAACCGCAUGGUUCAAGGAUGAAAGACGGUUUCGGCUGUCACUUACAGAUGGACCCGCGGCGCAUUAGCUAGUUGGUGGGGUAAUGGCUCACCAAGGCGACGAUGCGUAGCCGACCUGAGAGGGUGAUCGGCCACACUGGGACUGAGACACGGCCCAGACUCCUACGGGAGGCAGCAGUAGGGAAUCUUCCGCAAUGGACGAAAGUCUGACGGAGCAACGCCGCGUGAGUGAUGAAGGUUUUCGGAUCGUAAAGCUCUGUUGUUAGGGAAGAACAAGUGCGAGAGUAACUGCUCGCACCUUGACGGUACCUAACCAGAAAGCCACGGCUAACUACGUGCCAGCAGCCGCGGUAAUACGUAGGUGGCAAGCGUUGUCCGGAAUUAUUGGGCGUAAAGGGCUCGCAGGCGGUUUCUUAAGUCUGAUGUGAAAGCCCCCGGCUCAACCGGGGAGGGUCAUUGGAAACUGGGAAACUUGAGUGCAGAAGAGGAGAGUGGAAUUCCACGUGUAGCGGUGAAAUGCGUAGAGAUGUGGAGGAACACCAGUGGCGAAGGCGACUCUCUGGUCUGUAACUGACGCUGAGGAGCGAAAGCGUGGGGAGCGAACAGGAUUAGAUACCCUGGUAGUCCACGCCGUAAACGAUGAGUGCUAAGUGUUAGGGGGUUUCCGCCCCUUAGUGCUGCAGCUAACGCAUUAA
rnacentral:rRNA from 1 species